UACGGAGGGUGCAAGCGUUAAUCGGAAUUACUGGGCGUAAAGCGCACGCAGGUGGCUGAGUCAGUCGAUUGUGAAAGCCCUGGGCUUAACCUGGGAAUUGCAGUCGAUACUACUCAGCUAGAGUAUGGGAGAGGGUAGUGGAAUUCCCGGUGUAGCGGUGAAAUGCGUAGAUAUCGGGAGGAACAUCAGUGGCGAAGGCGGCUACCUGGCCCAAUACUGACACUCAGGUGCGAAAGCGUGGGGAGCAAACAGG
rnacentral:rRNA from 1 species